CUGGCUCAGGAUGAACGCUAGCGGCGCGCUUAACGCAUGCAAGUCGAGCGAUGAGGCUCCCUUCGGGGAGUACAUCAGCGGCAGACGGGUGAGUAACACGUAGAUAACCUGCCCUCAAGACGGGGACAACCGGUGGAAACAGCGGCUAAUACCCGAUAUGCUCACAGGAUCGGGAGAUCGAGUGAGGAAAGCGCCCCUUCGGGGGAGAGUGUUUGAGGAGGGAUCUGCGGCCCAUCAGCUAGUUGGUGAGGUAACGGCUCACCAAGGCGAAGACGGGUAGGGGGUGUGAGAGCAUGGCCCCCCACAAUGGGACUGAGACACGGCCCAUACUCCUACGGGAGGCAGCAGCGGGGAAUAUUGCGCAAUGGACGGAAGUCAGACGCAGCGACGCCGCGUGGGUGAGGAAGGCCUUCGGGUUGUAAAGCCCUUUUCAGGGGAGCGAGAAAGGACGGUACCCUUGGAAUAAGCGUCGGCUAACUACGUGCCAGCAGCCGCGGUAAGACGUAGGACGCAAGCGUUAUCCGGAUUUACUGGGCGUAAAGCGCCUGUAGGCGGUCAAGUAAGUCGGAUGUGAAAGCCCCGUGCUCAACGCGGGGAAGCCAUUCGAUACUGCGUGACUAGAGAACGGCAGAGGGAAACGGAAUUUCUGGUGUAGCGGUAAAAUGCGCAGAGAUCAGAAAGAACACCGAUGGCGAAGGCAGUUUCCUAGGCCGCAUCUGACGCUGAGAGGCGAAAGCUAGGGGAGCAAACAGGAUUAGAGACCCUGGUAGUCCUAGCUGUAAACGAUGGAUGCUAGGUGUGGGCCGGAAAGGUCCGUGCCGUAGUUAACGCGAUAAGCAUCCCGCCUGGGGAGUACGGNCGCAAGGCUAAAACUCAAACGAAUUGACGGGGACCCGGACAAGCAGCGGAGCGUGUGGUUUAAUUCGAUGCUACACGCAGAACCUU
rnacentral:rRNA from 1 species